GGCUUGACUCGGCCCCUCGAUGACCUUGCCGAUGUGUUCGGCGGAACCAUGCUUUUGGAGCUUCUUAGCGCCGAGCUUGACUCCAACUCUCUCUCUCUCCUUCUCACUUGUACGGACGAGACUCAAAACCCUUGCAAACGUAACGGAUCGAAGUGGAAAAUGGUACCUUUGUGUUCGUGAUGAUCAUACGAGUUUAACCAUACCAAUUUCAGGGAAUUUGAAGCUUAUAGGAAGCUUAGGGAGGUCCUUAGGAAGCUC